GCGAGAGUGGCGGAACCGGCAGACGCAGCGGACUUAAAAUCCGCUGGCCGCAAGGCCGUCCGGGUUCGAGUCCCGGCUCUCGCACCA
rnacentral:tRNA from 1 species